CCUACGGGAGGCAGCAGUGGGGAAUAUUGGACAAUGGGCGAAAGCCUGAUCCAGCCAUGCCGCGUGUGUGAAGAAGGCCUUUUGGUUGUAAAGCACUUUAAGUGGGGAGGAAAAGCUUAUGGUUAAUACCCAUAAGCCCUGACGUUACCCACAGAAUAAGCACCGGCUAACUCUGUGCCAGCAGCCGCGGUAAU
rnacentral:rRNA from 1 species